UACCAGGUCAUAGGAUUUGAACUCAGGACCACAACGGAAGACAGGCUUUUCCCAUCAUGCCAAACAGCCCCCAGGCUGUCCCAGAGAAUGCCCAGGAGCUCUCAGACUAGAGGCAGAGGGUACCCUCGCCCACAAGCAUAGCCAUGUUGCUCUCAGAGUCCCUGGGAGCUGCCCACCCCUCCUACCCCACGGCCCUCCCCCACACACCUGUUGGACGCCUUCUUGUUGGGCCCCUCCAGGUCGUGCUUGCGGCCCAAGUAGCCCUCCAUCUGCACGCUGUGCCCGUGGUCCACCUGGGCCGGCAGCGUUGUAGGCUCUUCACCCUCGCUCAGAGGCGUGUCCAGGACCUUAAAGAGGGGCUCUGUGGUGGGCCUCUCAUCCGUGCUGGAUUUCUCCUCCUGCCCUUCCUUGUGCGGCCCUGGCGGCAGUGGCGGCUGCAGGUCCUGGGGCCACUGCCUCUCUUCUUCCCCCUGCUCAGGGGCAUAUGGGAGGAGCACACCUUGCUGGGGGUUCAGAGCCAGGGGUGGCUACUCUCGGCAGAACGGGGAGGUCAGCAGGCCCCACCUGAGUCUGGUUCUUCUCUCCUGUGCCCUUCCUGGCCCUCCCUCAACCUGCUGUGGGUUUCCACCUGGCCUGCUUCCCUAGCCUGUGCCCAUGUCUCUGGCUCCAUUCUCACUCUCCCCCUCUCCAAUCUAACAUAGGAACAGAAGGUUCUUAGAGUGAGCUGAAGGGGCUCAUCCGGGGGUUUCCGAUGCUGCCCGCCUCCAGGGCCCACCCCUGCUUCAGACAGAUACUCCAGCUCCUACUGAGUCAUCCGUGGGGCUCUGGCAAGACUUCAAAUGAAGAAAGGGUUCUGCUGCUAAGACAGGACAGAAGAACAUUUGUGGUAGGAUGUUGUAUGGGAACCCUUCUGUUACUUUCCACUUGUGUCUAAAACCCCAAAGCUAAGGGCACCAGGCCCUAAGCCUCCGCCACCACCUUCUAAAGGGAGACCCAGACCUUCCCGGGUCAUGGUGCAGGGCCGUGACCUGCUCCCCAGGUCCUGCCUCCGUCAUUUGGUGGGGAUUUGUUGGAGUAGGGCAGUGGCUCCUAACCCUGGCUGCCUUUUACAAUCACCUCGGGAGCGUUAACAAAGGAUGCCGGGACGCAUCCUCAGGAUGCUGAGUUAACUAGCCUGGAGUGGGGUCAGCACACUGGAAUUUCUUAAUCAGCUUUUCAUGCACUCGAAUGUGCUGCAGGGGUAGAGAAUCACCACCUAAGGAGUCACUGCUCCAGGGAAAGUCCGCGGCUUUUACCUCCCUGCUCCUCCCCGUAGAGGACAGGAUCCUCCCAGCCCCUGCCCAAGCCAAGUGAGGGGCCUCCAGUGGAGCCGCGUGCUGGUAUGUCAGGUGCCCGUGAGAAAGGGAAGCAGACCUCUUAUUCCCCAGCUGGGUACACCCUUAUGCAGAGGCCUUUGUGCCACUGUACCAGGAGAGAGGGCAGGACAGAUUGCGGCAGCAAGGGGCAGCCAGCCUCCGAGUGCAGCACAAGAAUGCCGGCUGGGGCAAGAAUGGGUGGGUCUCCUAUGUGCCCAGCAUCAAGGAAGGGCACCCUAGCUUGAGACAUCUGGCCAGAACCCUGUCUCAAAGGCCUGACUGCUAGAGACCUUACAGCACCAGGUGGGAAGGGUCUUGUAGGUCCCAAGCAGGUAGUAUUUGGACACCUGAAGGACCAAGGGCACUGACAGCCCAAGAGGACCAGAGCCAACCCAGGCAGUAAAGAGACACUGCCCCCUUUUCUACUCCCUGUCCCAGCUGAAGAUGGAGACCCAGGGGAGUGUUGGGGAGGAGCCAGGAAACAGCAGACCCUGUGCUCCCCAUCGUGGGUCCUUCAGACCUUGGGUCGAAGCCAAAAUAGAGAAAUGGAGAAUGAGAGAUAUGGGCACCAUACUGGACAUCAGAUUGAAGCUUCAAACUGAAACAGACUGGUUAGACUUUUUAACAGCUAAAAGUGACCAAGGUCUGCCUGAGCUGGCACUAAGGAAUGGGAAGCGGAGGCUCAACGGAGAUGUCUGAAGGCAGUGGUUGGAAGAAAGGUAAAGCUGGUCAUGGCUGUAUCCCAUCAAAUAAGGGCUGUUCAAUAAACAGGUUGGUGUUCCCUAAGAACCCCAAAAGAAAGGAUAAUAUGGCUGGAAAAGUUUGAAAACGCUACCCUAGUCUAACACCUUCAAUCUAGGAGAAAACCAGUACUCAGAGAGGUUAAAUGACUUCCCCAAGGUCACACAGCUAAUAGAUACCAGAGGCAAUUAAGAGCAUGCACUCCACAAUUGGACAGGCCUGAGUUUUUACCACAUCUGUAGGGAUCUCAUCUUUUCCUGUCUUAGAAUCCCUUGAGUUGUGGCUGGGCCAUGCCCAUCUUUAUGCAUCUGGCAGUAUUUAUGUCUUUGAGUGUCAGCAAUGAGCCAGAAUUGACCACAAGGAUCUGAAGGCUGUAAAGCCCUGCCUGGAUCCUCCUCCAGCAGGGAGGAAGGGCAGGAGUGGCAGGGUUGGAUUUGGGAGCCUGCGUUUGGGGUCCUUCUAUGGACCCAGUCAGGCCAACCCUCUGACUUGGGCAUAACUGUUGGGGAGGUAGUGAAGCCUUUCAUCCUCUCUCUCUCCAGCUGGCUGUGCUGUUCCUCCUGGUGAUGGGCCAGGCUUUCCCCACACCUGCUCUGGGGGCCUCGGGGAAGAUGUGUGGCAGAUGCUGGGAGGAAAACCCAGCAGACCCUCACAACCAUGUUCACCCCUCUCACCCAGCCUCUUCCCUCCUGGGACUGGUUUUACUAGAGCCCUGUGUGUCCAUAUUUUCUUCCUAUACUUUUCAUUUCCAUGCUCCUUCCUUUCGGGAACUCUCCUCUGAAAAUAGAGAUGAUUUUUCCAGGACUGCCUCCCAAUUUAAUCUCACCUUUCUUCUGUUUCUUCCUAAUGGAUGCCUGACCUAUGUUCCCUGGCAGGGCCAGUCAGAGGCCACGGCCAGUGUGACCAAAAGUUAAAUGGCCAGGUCAUGGGUGGGCUUUGGGAAAUGGGGGUUUUCCAAUGUAUGCAAAGAUUUCUUCUGUUCUCUUGACUGUUCAUGUGGAGAAAAUUUAAAACACACCCUCUCCCCUCUCCCCUGAAGGCCAAGGCCUGAGGAGAAGGAGUCGAGAAUGAGGGUGGGAGGUGGAGGGGUCUGGUGGCAGCUGCUCCUCCCAGGCCCAGGGCUGGCAGGGCUUCUCUCUCUCCUGGGUUAGGGGAAGGGACACACAGGAGAAAGAUGGGGGCGUGGUUUGGGCCCUCCUUUUAUAGGCCCCAGGGGUGAAUAUGCUUUGCACCAUCUUCUAAGAGAGCUGGGGGUUGAGGGGCAGUUCUGCUGCCCCUGGAACCAUACCAUGCUCUGAUAGAGAUUGUGCCUUGCCCGACAGGCAGAGAGAUCUGUGGACAGCAGAGCACCAGAAGGGGAUGCUGGCUACUCGUUGGCUGUAGGGACAGGUAGGUUCUGCCAAAAGGCCCUGGAUAGCUAAGAUGAUCCUCCGUGAUAUAAGGCAGAAGGCCAGCUGCUUUAGCCCUUGGGUCAUCAGGAAGAUGCAGAGAUUACACCUACUCUGCUGAGAGGUAACCCAGCCUAGAGCAAUCACUCAGAGGAGCUGGGGGACACUGAAAAAAAGAGGAUCCAGCUACUUGGAAGAAACUCUGGGCGUCAGGUUGGGGCUGCUGGAGAGUUUAGACCAUAAGUGGGUGUAACAGAAGGAGGGAGAAUGGCCCAGGGAUGGGGCCUGGAAUAAGCAUGGAGCUUCUGUUCUCUGAUUUGAAGGUCUGGGUGACAGGUGGGUGGGUGCGCUGGCUGCUGGGAUCACGAUGUCAGAGGAGGGUAGGGGACAGGCAGCACUGGAUGCUGGUGGGAACAUCAGGGGAGGAAAGGGCACAGAUAGGAGAGCCUUUUAGGAUCCCACAGGAUUGUAGUCAAACAGGGAGAGAGGCCUGAGCCCCUGAUGGGCUGGGGAUGGCCACAUCAGAGUAUUUGCAGAGUCUUGUAAGCUUGACAUUUUAGGGUCCUGCCUUGUUAGGAAACUGACUUGGGUGGGGGGAAGCAGGCAGAUGUCUCUUCCCCAGAGGAGGUUCAAGAAGAUGAAGGGAAGAGGGGCAGCAUGGGUACAUUUCUUACCUGGACUAAAGGUGUUGAAGGUGUACUUCCAGGCCAAGCCAGCAGGUGGCGCAGGGGGACAGCACACAGACAACUAACUCCAGCUCCAGGGAGAAAAAUAACCAGGGGUGCGACCACAGGGUCUUUGGGAGAUUCUAGAAGAUGCUCAGUGAACCCAGACACAUCAACAAACAAGGAAACACAAGCGAGCUUCUCUCUAAAGGAAAUGCUGUGUGGGCUCCCUGCCCUGGAGGCGCUGGCGGCUGCUUGAUGCCUUGGUGACUCUGAGCCAGCCACUCAGAAAGUCUCAAAAGAGAAGACACUGACUCGCCCAUCCAGAUCUGACACCCAGCAGUCGGCAGCUUCACGCCUCAUUUCUGAGAUGCCUGCAAUGUUAACUGAGUCCCAUCCUGGGUUCAUCAGUAUCGGGGAUGCUCUAAAACACAGAUUGGAAGAUGAACUUAGGAGUUGCCUUUGAGCAGCGGGACCAGGAAGAUCACGUCCGACCCUAGUACAGAGAGCUGGGCGCACCGAGCGGCGGACAGAUGUCCACAAAGAGCCUAGAGCCAGCUUCUCCACGGAGCCUGGGGUGCCAGGGCACGGUGCCAGACUGUAGGCAGACACAGCCCUGCCACGCUGAUUCAGGCAUCCUGGGGAGACAGACACGCCCAGGUUCACGGGAAAACUGACGUUCUUUCCAGGCUGGGUCUGCUCAUUAUGGGCAAACACACCAUUUGCCUUCACUGUAAAACGCCUGAAUCAGCAGCUCAGUUCAGCCUCACAGGGGGAGUGGAGGGAGGAUGGGGAAAGCUCGCUCAGGCAAGAAGAAACACAGCUGCUGCCUCCACACCCACAUCCCUUCCCUCCAAGAACGUCAGAGCCAGGCCUCUGGCCGCUGAUUAGAGCCCUAGGCUGCCUGCUGCUGUGGGGAGUUGCCAAGGGAGUGACAGCAGCUGGAGCCAGCCAGCCACUGGCUAAAAGGUGACCUGCUGCAACCCAGUGCCUGCUCAGCCCCAGGGCACCAUCCCUCAGGUUCUCAAGUGCCGGUUAUCUCCCUGAAGCCACGUCAACCUCUAAGAUGCUGGAAGGAGAUGCCCAGUCCUCUCGGGGAAGCCAGCUGCAGGCGGUCUUGGAAGGUCAUGGGAAGAGUGACGUCUGUGAGCUGCACUUGGAACAUGCUCUAAUGUGGAAAGGUAAGAGGUGAUAGAGGCAAUGGAUGUGCUUGAAGAAACGCUGAAUGCGUGGAAUGGUACUCCAGUCCCUGCGUGUGCGUACAUGUGUGCGUGCACACACCCGGGAAGCGGAGGACCAGGCGGGGCUGGCAGGGUGGCCACCGUGUGCUGUGCAGCAGUCUACUCAGGGAUUCAGGUGCCUGGUCCACUCCCAUGCAGGAAGCCGGCAUGCACUAGUGAUGGGUUUCACGUGAAGCCACAGCGUACGGAUCUAUCCCAUAGGGCACCGACACCAGACCACACACAGCACGGAUCUAUCCUAUAGAGCACCGACACCAGACCACACAUGUGACAGCAGGAGAGCCACUGGACCCAGGCCUACCCCAGAGAGAAGGCUCAGCGGACAGCCGCCUUCCUGGGAGAGGCCUGAGGUUUCUGGAAAGGUUUUGAACCCUGCAUGUGACCCAUUCUCCUCUCUUCUCAUAUCAAGGACCAAUGGGGUAUCCCACUCUCCCUCGGAGUCCCAUGGAGCCUCGUGAAAACUCAACAAAGGGCUCGGAAAGGAGAAGCAGCAAGAACUCUGUUUCCAUGAGGCCUCAGGCCUGGUGUUCAUUUGAUUCGCCAUCCAGUUUCUUCCUGGUACCGGGCACAGGCCAGUUUCCCCAUCUGGCGGGGUGGCUGGCUCUCUGGGAAGGGUCUCAAAUGUGGGCUCACUCCCUCCUUCCAGAGACGCUCAGGUCCAAGCAGGUUAUACUCCCCCCAAAUCCAGCGACAUUCAGGCGGUGGAUGGAGGCGGCUCUGAUGCACAUGUAAUUACAUUGCACAGACGUACACGACACAGACAAUGGAUGGAUCGCACAGGUGGUCACAAAGGAACCCGCAGACCCAGGCCACCACCGUGCAGACACACAGGGACGCACAGCUGAAGCGCAGGUGGCAGGAACAGUCCCAGCCCCCGUGUCCACAGUCCAUGCCAGCCCCCAGAGUUCUCUCUCCUUCCAGUGGAGGCUGUUCCUGAGAAAAAGUCCACCAGAGACUCCCACAUGCGCCGAUGGGAUCUUCAGAGGGAAGUCCUGGGAGAGACCCACCAGUGGGAGCCCAGGAGUGCCCUCUGCUGGACAUGAAGGGCUGGUGCAGCUCAGGACACCUCUGGCCGGCUGGAGGUGUCAGAGGGAGCUCAGAGUGUGAGUGUGAGUGUGAGUGUGUGUGUGUGUCUCAGAGGGUGGGAAGGGCUGAAAUAUAGACCUGACAGGGAUUCUGCACAGGAAAUGCUCAGUGUUGUGCAUUUUUCUGGGGUGGCUGGUGUACCAGAAAUUUCCACCAAGAACUCCUAAAGGUUCAGGCAAGCUCACCUGGGCACCUGGAGAGGUGGUGGAUAUGCAGUGGCAAAGCCAUGCAAGGCACAUGCUGGAUUCUUGCUUUCUUCUCAGUCAGCUGCUCCCAGCACAUUUCCCCAAAACCUGGAUCACAGCCUCCCAGACUUUCUGCAUAGACCUCCUGGUUCCUAUUCCAGGCCAGGUCCUGAAGCCAUCUGCCAGGCCUCUGGCAGUGGGAGUGUUUGCGUCCCUCCCUCACCUCCCCCAGGCGUCCUCUUUUUCUACAAAUUGGAAGCCUGUGACCCAGAAGCCCUGGGGCUCUCCCUCACUCCUGAAGGGCUCCGUCAAGUCUGUUCUUGCCUCAGAGCUAGCUCUAUCUCCAACUCACUGACCCACGAGCCUCAGGCCAGGAAGGUGCAAAGGGGGGAGGGGCUCUGCUUAGGAGGAAGGAACCUGCUAGAGGGUGGGUAUGCCCACUUCACUGCCCCAAAUGCCAUGGCCAGGGCAGGAAGACCAAAUGGUCCGUUUGUGAGUAUAUUUGUGUGUGUGUGUGUGUGUGUGUGUGUGUGUGGGCGUAGAGGGUAGAGUUAAGGAUGGUGUCAGAGGGAAAAUGGGUAAAAGGACAGCGUAUACAAGGGAAUCAUUCCUGCCUGUAUAAACUGUUCCCCCUGAUGUAGAUGGUAAUGUAUUUAUAUAAUAAAAUUUAUUAGACCAGA